CGGUUAGCGUCGGUUCAGCAGAUGAAGUUAGUUGUGCUUCAGGGACACCAUGCAUUACCAAUCCAAUGGCAGUGAGGAGGAAAAUGAAGUCGAGACAUUUCCUGAACAUUAUUCAGGUUUGUUACGACAUAAAUCAUUGUACAGGUCGCGAACUGAAAGUGCACAGAGUGUCAUCAUUUCGGAAACUGAUUAACAAGGGUACAGCACUGUUACUGAACCGGAAAACUGGCAAGUGAGGCUAGCUAUGAAACUGUAAGCGUUGGUGGAGACCUAUAUUCAUCGAAUUCGUCACAGUUACCAUCACAACCUUCCAUCUGGCAUGUUCUUACAGUCUCAAAGUACCACGUGAAGAAAGAACGAUGGACUCUACUCCAUCUACGUCUACUUAAUUGUUAAAAAGGGCAAUGGGGCAAAGGUAACAGUGGCCAGCUGCGGUCUACCUGUCGCUACAAUGGCUGCUACUGUUACGAGAUGAUUAACUUUCAGGCAACUGUCUGCUAAAGAUUGAGUGUACUAGGUGAUUACAAGGCUUUAUUGAAGCCAGUGUACAUAACUUCAUAUUAUCACAAUAAUUUCAAUUACAUAUAAAUUAGUUUUCGAUUUUUAAUUACAAUUUUUUAAUGAAUGCGUUUUGCUUUAU